AAACCAGCACCUCAAGUGGUCAGGAGGAUUAUUGGGCCUAAAGCAUCCGUAGCCUGUUCUGUAAGUUUUCGGUUAAAUCCAUUAGCUCAACUAAUGGGCCGCCGAAAAUACUGUAGAACUAGGGAGUGGGAGAGGUAGACGGUAUUCGGUAGGAAGGGGUAAAAUCCUUUGAUCUAUUGAGGACCACCUGUGGCGAAGGCGGUCUACCAGAACACGUUCGACGGUGAGGGAUGAAAGCUGGCGGAGCAAACCGGAUUAGAAACCCGAGUAGUCC
rnacentral:rRNA from 1 species